AAAAAAACAAAAAACGUUACAUUGUUUAAAAAAUGCGUAGGGGUGUAUAGGAUUUGUUGUUGUCGUUGAUGGUGACCAUGGUGACCAAACAUGGACAAGCGACGGAGUGAUGUGAUCCACUUGACGCCUUAGAGUUUUUGAAAAUGGCACGAACCAGAGCAAAAAUUUUGUAUAAAGCAAAGCAUAAUUUACUUCCAGGAAAUAUUAAAAAAAUAAUAAAAAAAAACCUGAGAGCGAACUUUAAAAGUUUUCGUAGCACAUUGAAAAGUAUCAGUCUAUGGAAGGAGAGUAAAAAUAAGAUAUUUGUAUUAAAAACUUUUUUUUUUUCUUUUUGAUCGAGGUGAUUGUAUCUAUGGAGUUGUGUGUGUAUAUAUUACAUGUAUAUGCCUUGUUCUUAUCAGGUUUGGUUUGUUAGAUUUGAAGAAAAAGGAAACGAGGGUCCGGCUUUUAUAAUCUAUGCAUCAGUCCGAUAUACUUUCUAACCCUAACCCUUCAUUUUUUGUGUUUUUUGUUGUAUGUUUGCGAUUGUGUAAAGUUCAUUCAAAGUAAAGUUCAUUCAUUCAUUCAAAAUAAAAAGUUACCGCCGUAAAUAUCGAUAAUAACAAGUAUAAUAUUUUGUAUAUUUGUGAUAUUUUUGUCUGUUAGAUUCAGUUCUUUUUGUUUCAGGACGUUUUAUGGAGAAAUGGAUUCCUCUGGGAUUAACGAUGAUCCCGAUCUCUAAACGUGAACACUGGUCAUCCUCUUCCACUCAAACACGUGUCGUUGCUGAGAUUUGUUUGCUCCGUUUUUGGCCGCCACCACUUUGCACGUAUCAAAAAGCCUCGUCCCGACCGACGCGCCGCGGCUCGCGAACGCAAACAUCUGAUCAUAUCCCUUUAUUUAGAACUCACACACUCGUGUAAUCUCUAAUUUAAACCAGACUGGGGAGACAUAAAUGGAGGACUUGUCCGCUGAAAGAGGGACACACUCAGCUCUUCUGUUGCCUCUUUUAUUUUUUAUUUUUUGCUCCUUUAUUAGCAGCUGUGCGGCCAAUUAUCUCCCUGCCCCCUUUCCUGUGUUUGGGCCCGAGAGGAGGAGGACGGGGAGGAGGAGGAGGAGGAGGAGGAGGAGAGGGUGAGAAGGAGGAGGGUUCCUCUCUCUGACAUCGUCAUAAAGGAAUCCCCUUCGCUGGGCUCGGCCCGCCCACUCGCUUACACUCAGCCCGUCUGGCUCCCAGACACACUCGGUGUUCACACACAGUCCCGUCUGAGCGGCCGAGGGAGGAACUCCGACCAAAGGGGGGAACAGAGAAAACUUGACAAGUGGGGAGUUAAAGAGCGAAGGCAGCGGAGGAGUUAACAAAAAAAAAAAAAAAAAAAAAAAGCCCGUCGGUCAGGUAAGUGCAGCAGAUUCCUUCCCCUCUCUGUCUAUUUUCUUUCUUUUUCUUUUUUCUCCUUUUUUUUUUUUUUUUUUACACUGUUUUAUGACUUUGUCAGAGCCAGACGUGGCUUCAAAGCGAACCCUGCAACCUGUUGAUCAGGGCAGACGUUCACACGGAGACGCUGUGAAGUCAAAUGAACUGUGAUAUUGACGUUGGACUGUUGCCACCGUGGACCGGCUCCGUUGCAAAGGUCAGAUGUGAAUAGCUCCUUUGAAUGGGAUGGCUUCAUUUCUCUCGGGCUUUAUUUAGAGAUCACAUCAGCGCCCGUCUGGAGCCUGCGCCUGUACCUGCGUCUCCGCUCCUUCAUACAUACAUGUCACUCGUCAUGCGUCGUGCGUCAGGGGGCCCGUUUGCCACCAGCGGAAAAAAAAAAAAAAACAAAAAAAAAAAAAACAGAGGUCAUAAAAAAGUUGUAGAAAAGCAGCCGGAGGAGGCGUAGUGGUGGCGCUGAAGCGAGGCCGGAGCCGCUCAAACAUUCCUCUCAUUGUUCAGAGGCCCCGUAAGUCUGCGAGCUCCCAAACCUCCAUGAAAGGAAGGGAAUCCAGCGGCUACUGUAGCUAGCACACUUUCAGCUGCAGCUCCUUCCUGGAGAAGUUUCCUCUCAGACCGAAGCCGAGAUAACGUAGCACCACCACCACCCGCCUCCUCCUCUGGCUUUGAUCUGAUAACCUCUACGCCCGGGGAGGACAUGGGAACGAGGAGACGAGGGAGGUCAGAGGAGGGUUGUUGUUGUUGUUGUUGUGUUUAUUUUGACUUCUGGGAAUGGAUGGAUGCAGGGGGGAGGCGAAGAGGAGCUUUCAGGGGUUUGAGUGGGUGGGUGGGUGGGUUAUUAGGUGGGUGGGUGGGUGUGCCCCGGCCGGCGGCAGCCUGCAGCCUGCAGCAGCAGCAGCAGCAGCAGGAAUGGGCCUGGGCUCAGGAAACCGUGGCGUAGUGGAAUAAAAAAGUGUGUGCAUCCAUUCGUGCUUGUGUGGUUCAGCGGCAGCAGGGCAGCUGUACGCUAAGUACAGGCCUGGUGGCGGUGAGGGUGUUUGGCUCCGAGUCAGCCCGGGGAUAGGGUUACACGCAUUGGGCUGCAGGGAGUGGACCUCAGGCUUGGGCUGGGUCCUCCAAGCUUUACAGCUUUUUUUUUUUUCUGUUUAUUUAUUUUUUUCAAGAAAGAAAAAAAAUAAAAAUAAAAGCAGCAGGAUUUUUUUUUUUUUUUUUUUUUUUUAAAAAAGUCUUACUCUAAUGUCCCACAUGUGGCCGCUGAUUCAAAGGGAGCAGCAGCAGCAGCAGCAGCAGCAGAGCCGGCCCGAAGCCCGGGCCCUGAAUGUCACUGAAUGUCACGGCCUCGGCAAUAAUUACACCCUCACACGCAAACCAGAAUCAAUCACGUGGCUCAGACGUCUGGCAGCGAGUGGAGCCGAAGCCGAGCCGAGCUGAGCUGAGCUGAGGUGUGGUGGUGGUGGCGCGUCGAAAAAGGUGUUCAAGAGAUCGAGGGUUUGACUCGCCGGGAUGUGUUUUGCAGUUUCACUGCUGGGUCUCGUGGUCGGUGGCGGUGGAAGAGGGGGGGGGAGAAAAAAGAGAAAGAGGAAAAAAAAAAUAAAAAAAAAGAAGAGGGCUUUGUUUGCAUCAAUCAAACAGAUGUGUGGGCCUGUUUACGGAGACCGAGAGGAGGAAACAAGCAAUUAGGAAAAGCAAACAUAUUUGCACUUUAAGAAAAAGAGCUCUUUGCCUUUUUUGUCCGAGAAGCAGCUAAAUUGUCAGUUUUUUGAGCGUUUUGUCUGCGUUGAGCGUAUCUUGAUCCGGGGCCACGUCUGCACUUCACACACACAACAUGUCCACAUGGCACAAGAAAGCCCAUCAAAGAAAUCCACAAGUCCUCCUUCUCUCUUUUUUCUUUCUCCUCUCUCUCUCGAGUACAUCUGCUGGCGAUCCGUCACUCGCUGAUACUGAUUUUCCUGCUCGGUCAACAUGUUCUGAGCAGCUAGCAGCGAAAGCCACCGCAGCCUUGUGAUUAUUUCCAAACCCACUCGAGCUGGAUCGUCUGGGAGCCAGAGAGGAAAGAAAAAAGAAACGAAAAAAAAAAACAGAAAAAGGGGGGAAAGUGAGAGACGUGUCGAGCUCCUCGCGGCGAGCGUUUGAGGUGAGGUGUUGGACGGCGUGCGUCAACCAGAGCGGCCGUCAUUACAGAGGAGAGAGGGAAGGAAUGAGCUCAUGGACAUUAACGGCUGUGGGUUCGACCGGGGGGGAGGGAGGGAGGGAGGGAGGGAGGGGAGGGAGGGGAGGGAAGGAGGAGAGAAACCGAAGGAAGAGAUGAAAAGGCAGAGAAAAUAGCUCGGGCUGCCAGAUGAAAAGGACGGCGGGAUGGAGGACCUUAAAUGACCUUUCGUUGCUGAAAUAUGUCCCGGUUUACAGCCAGAAGUCGGUAUUUUAGUUCGAAACAAAUGUCGGCGCUGGACUUUCGAGAAGCUUAGAGCAUCGCACUAUUUUAGGAAGCUCUUUGUGAAACUCUCAGAAGCGGCCGCAGAUUUGCAGCAACAACGACGCGGCCCGGGUGUUGAUAGCAACCCCUCGGCCGGGUUCACGAUGUCCCAGACAGGCUCAAAACUUAUUUAGACUCUGGACUUCCCCAGAAGCGUCCCACUGACUCAUGGCUGCUGAAAAUACUGGAAGAGGACGAUUAGUUAACGAGCGAAGCAUCAUUGAGGAAGCCCGGCCCAGAGCUCUGCGCCACUCCACUUCCUUCUGACUUCAUUUUCUCUGAAGUCCGGGGACGACACGCGUCCGACCGGCAUCGCGUCACCACCACCACCACCACCACGCUAGCGGAGGCUAGGAAACACAGCGAGGCGACGCUGCCGCCGCUGCUGCUGCUGGAGGUCGCCACAAAAACCACCGACCUGUCUCUGUCUGUCUGGCCAGGGGAAUUCCUGGCAGAGUGAUUUUUGAGACUACAGGACUGAAUCACAUUGCCAGGGAUUUCCAAUGGCUGACACGAAGAAAGACGCCUCUUUCUGGUUUGAAUACUCAAACAUGAACAUGACCCGUGUCACGAAUGGAGAGGGGGGGGAGAUGGGGAGGGGGGAGAGGUGGGGGGGGGCGUAGUAAUGAUGGCUGUGCGGCAGCAGGACUUAACCCACAUGUGAACAGAGACUGACUGCCGUGUUCACAGUGGUUAAGUUCUGCCGCCACAGGGCUGCAGCCUGCAGGGAAAAGGUCAGGGAGGGGCCGCCCGGCAUCCAACCACACUUCAAAACGCAAAUGGCUCUCGUCCACCGCUUUGUUGUGGACACACAUCAUCGCUGUUUAAUGCACCUGACUGUAAAAUGACUGCGUCAGAUUGACUUUGUUUUUUUGAUUUUUUUUUAUAGUGUAGCUGCAGUUCAGACUUUAUCUGGUCAAUAAAAGCAAAAAAAGCACUUUUUUUCUUUGAAUUUGUAAAAAACUAAACUCAAAUUGACACUUUUUAUAGUUUUUUUCCACUAAAAACUACAGUACUGGAUGUAAAAUCAAACCGUGAUCAUUUUAUUGAUAUGUUUUACGUUUCCACAGUCAACAUUCAUCUAAUGUUGUGUGUUUAUCUGUCAAAUUGUAUUUUUUUUUCUCAGGGUUUGUGAAAUUGAAGAUUUUCAGGAUUUUUUUUUUAUAGUGUAGCUGCAGGCAAAGAAUGAUAAUUAAAAAAAUCUGCUUUAUUCAUGAUUUUUAUGGACCGUAGCACUUUCUUUUCCUUUAAAUUUCUUAAAAACAAAACUCAAAUUGACACUUGUUACAGUUUUCUUCCCCUAAAAACUACAGCACUGGUUGUUUUAUGUUUCCAGAGUCAAAAUUCACCCAAGUCUGUGUAUUUUUCCGCAACUUCUGCUUUAAAACUGUCACAAUUGUACAUGUUUUCUCUCAGGUACAGCGUCGGCCAAAUGUUUGGAGUUAUGUAGGAAAUUAGAAGUGUUCAUGAGGUCGACACCUGGACCGGUUUUCAUUUAACAGGUGUCACGUUGCCUGGAAGUCAGAACAGUUUCCCACGUCCACAUUUUGUUUUUAUUGAGCUACAUUCUGCAGCUAAUUGGCUACAUUGAUCCUGUUACUGAUAGUUUUUUAUGGGCUGCAGUUUUUGUGGACUCUUUUUAAAAAUACGACCUGAAUUCAACAUUUUUUUUUUACAGUGUAGCUCCAGUUAACACUUAUAAACAUGUCUUUUUUCUCUCUUUUAAACAUAUACUAACCUUGACAGUAAACAAAAAACUACUACCACUGGCGGCAGGUUUUCUGGAAACAUCUUAAAAACAAACUUUUUUUAUAGUGCAACUCCACUAACACAUCAAACUAUGUCUUUAAAUGUGAUUAACAACUAAUCCUGUCAAUGAAGGCCAAAUGUGCUGCUAGUCUUUUACUGUGUGGUUGCAGCUAAUCUUGUCAAUGAAGGGCAACAAACUUGCUGCUAGACUGAUCCUUUUACUUUGCUUUUAUGAGGUUACCAGUGGCUGCAGUUUUUCUGGAGGAAAAAAAUAAAACUUCAAUUGAAAUAAUUUUACAGUGUAGCUCCAGUUAAAAGGUUUUUCUCUCACAAACACAACUAAUAUUGUCAAUGAAGGGGAAGAAACAUGCUGCUACACUGAUUAUUUAACUUUGAUUUGUUGCAGAAUUUCUAAAGAAAAAAACAGAUUGGAAAUAAACUUAAUUUGAAACUUUUACAGUGUAGCUCCAGUUAAAACUUAUGUCUGAGAAGCCAAAUUGAUUCUUUUAUUUUGUUUUUUAUAGGUUUAUAAGUGGUUGCAGAUUUCUGGGGGGAAAAAAACUAACUUGAAUUGAAACUAUAUAUUUAUAGAGUACGUCCACGUAACAUUAUGAAGCUUAAAUGUACAGUUAUGUCUCAUGAAAACAGCUAAUCUUGUCCAUCUUGUCCAUCAAACUAUGUCUGAAAAGGGUUUUCUCUCACAAACACAACUAAUUGUUUCAAUAAGGCAAAGAAAUAUGCUGCUAGACUGAUUGUAACUUGUAACUGGUUGCACAUUUUAUGGGUUUGAAUUUAAAGGUUUUACAGUGAAGCUCCAGUAAACACUUGUAUGAAAAGGUUUUUCUGUCAUGAAAACAAACCAAACUUGACGAUAAAGUGUAAAAAAACCAACAUGCUGCUACAUCGAUUCUUAAAACUUUAUUUGGCUGCAGAAUUUCUGAAAAUGUCACUGAAAAUUAAACUAAAAUGUUUUAUAGUGUAGCUCAGAUUAAUACAGAAUCAGGUCUGAAAGGGGUUUUCUGUCACAAAAAUAAGUAAUUGUUUCAAUAAAGGGGAAGAAACAUGUGGCUACACUGAUUGUUUAACUUUGUUUUCAUGGGUUUACCACUGGGUGCAGAUUUUGUGGGUUUGAACUGAAAGGUUUUACAGUGUAGCUCCAGUGAACACUUUUGUCUGAAAAGGUUUUUCUCUCAUGAAAACAACUAAACUUGUCAAUAAAGGGUAAAAAAAAAAAAGCUGCUCGACCGAUUCUCAAACUUUUCUUUUAAGUUACUAUGGGUUUACCACUGGUUGCAGAUUUUGUGGGUUGAAUUGAAAGGUUUUACAGUGUCGCUCCAGUGACACUUUCAUCUUUCUCUCGUGAAAACAACUAAACUCGUUAAUAAAGGGCAAGAAAAAAAUGCUGCUACAUCGAUUCUUAAACUUUGUUUGGCUGCAGAAUUUCUGAAAAUGUCGCUGAAAAUUAAACUAAAAUGUUUUAUAGUGUCGCUCAGAUUAACACUAAAUCAGGUCUGAAAGGGGUUUUCUCUCAUAAAAAUAACAAAUUGUUUCACUCUUUAACUUUUGCAGAUUUUGUGUAGCUCCAGUUAACAUUUAAACUUUUGCCUGAAAAGGUUUUUUCUCUCAUGAAAACAACUAAUCUCGAUAAUAAAGUGUAAAAAAAAAUGCUGCUAGAUUCUUAAAAAACUUAGUUUGGCUGCAGAAUUUCUGAAAAUGUUUUACUGUGUAGCUCAGAUUAACACUAAAUCACGCCUGAAAGGGGUUUUCCCUCGUAAAAGUAACUAAUUGUUUCAAUAAAGGGGAAGAAACAAGCUGCUAGAUUCAUUCUUAACUUAAAAAAGUUUUCACGGGUUUAACUGGUCUCGUCAAUAAAGCGCAAAAAAAAAAGCUGCUAAACUCUUUUACGUAGUUUUAAUGUGUUUACCAGGACUGUUUAUAAAAAAAAACAGUAGAAUCGUCUCAAUAAAGCCCAAAACAAACCGCUUCUAGACCGACUCCUGACUCUUGACUCGUGACUGAUGCAGGAAUCAGGGUUUGGUGUUGAAUCCGUCUCUAAAUGUCAUUUGUCUCAUUAGCGUCUCGGGCCUCAGUGUGUCGCCUCAUGUCUCAGUGUGUGUGUGUGUUUUAUUUUUUAUGGAUUCAUUCAGUUUGCUUCCACCUGUUGGUAGCAUCAUCACACCGCCCCCCCUCCCCCGGCCCCCCCCCUCCACUCGCCUCCCGCUGGCUCGGCCUCCUGUGCCUGCUGUGCUGAUAAUCAGUGAGUGACGUCGGCUGGCUCAGUUCAGCAGGAACAGGAGUCCGAGCUCCUUUCACACUUUAAUGACGACGUUUAAUCACAAAGAUAAAAUCUGCACCUUGUUUUUUUUUCAAUUUAAUGCACAGAAAGAGAAAAUUCACCUUUGUAGAUGCAACAACCGUAAUAUGUGUUUUUAUUCCUGCAUGUAUGAGUUGUAUAAAUAACAUAAUUUCUGUCAAUUGUUUUUCCAUUUCAGAUUAAAGUUCGACUUCCUUCCAAAUCGUAAGCGAGUGUCUGGUGAUUUGUCGUCUUUCUUUUUCUCCACCACUAAUCAUCCGUGUCGAGGCCUGCUUGUAUUGGCGGUUGCCGUGGCAACGGGGACACGUGGCCGUCAUCAGCCUCGUCCAGCUGCGUCAGAGGAGGAGACGGUUCAACCGGCGAGUUCCUGUUUCUGAGAAAGCAGCCUGGAGGUGUGGAGGUGAAAGUCAGCGACCUUCUCUCGAUCACACCGCACCCAUCUUUGCUCUUUUUUUAAAAAAAAAAAAAUUAUUUACCCUCCACUCAUUCCCCGCGGAUCAGAUCCCACCCAGGUACGGCCCCUCUUCCACCUCCGUUACCUGCUUACUCAGCUCUUACUCAAAGUGUUUGUGCAGCAAAAAGUGGAAAAACCUCUUAACACCAAAAUUACCAGGUGGGUUGUGAAUUACCUCCACUGGUAAAGCCCUAAAUCAGGAGGUACUGCGCCCACAGGUGGCGCUUUAGUCUCCAAAAACAGCCUCACACUCGCAAAGGUUUAGAUGCCUUCUCAUUCAAUGUUUAUUAUAUCUGCAUUGUGAAUUAAAACCACAAACCAUCUCAACGUCUCAGAAUUCACAUAAUUUCCUUAUUUAUGUUUGUUUGUUUUAAAAAUCAGAGGUUUAGAUUCAAUGUUUCUGUCUUUCUUUCUUUUAUUUCCCACAUCAUGAAUUAAAACUACGAACACAAAGGAGUUAUGGAAUAAAUGCAUCGCAAAACAUGAGCUACUGCACCUGCAGGUGGCGCUUUAAUACAUUUAAGUUUCCACUAUUAUCUAAACUACAGCCUCAAAAUCUCAAAAGUCACAUAUUUCACUGUAUUUAUCUGAUUUUUUUUUCUUUAAAGACGUCAAAUUGUACGACUUUCUCUCAGGUUCAGGAGUUUGGACAAACUUUUAUUAUUUUCCUACAUUGAUUAAUACUGAAGUCGUUCAAACUACAAAGGAAGAUGGAGAAUAAUUAUAAGUUACAUAUAAUUCUUCUACAUAGUAUGUAUAUUAUUUCUAGUAUUAGUUAUUAUGAAACUAUAAACGGACACACAUUUAAAUUUGUAGUAAACUAAUAAAGUUUUGUGAUUUUUUUGUCAAAACCCUGAAACCUGAAGUUUAACUGAGUAUUUCUCUUUGUCGGGAACUUAUUCUCCUCCUGCAAAGAUCUUUUUUUUUCUUCUUCUAUGUGUCGUUUGAAACACGCCUCAUUAAUCAUUAAACGAGUUUAGUUAAAUAUGACGACGGCGAAAGAGAAAGAGAAGAAGUCAAUGGUCGGGGUCUGAAAAAAAGAAAAACCAGACGGUGGUGAAAGAGGCAGACGAGUCAAACACGGAGGAGAGACACCUGAAUGAAACAGAUUCCACUAUCUUUAUUGUCCUGUUUGUUCUUCCUUCAUCGGCUCAUGUCUCGCGUGGAAACUUGAGUCUGAGGCUCCGACAGACUCUGUGUCCUCCUCUGAUUAUGAUCAUAAAUGAGCCUUGUUGACUCUGUCUGCAGAGAGAGGACGGUUCUUCACUCCUCACUGAUUUAAUUGUGUCGUGUUCCUUCCACCGAGCAUAAAAGAAAGAAAACAUUUAAAUCUGCCCCAUUGUCUUCCAUCCAUUUCUCAAUGUUGACCUUUGUGUGUCAGCCCCUCCCCUCUCACCCACUCUGUAAAUGUCUUUCUAUUUUUUUCUUUGUUAUAUAUAUAUAUAUAUAUAUUUUGUCCUCCCUUCGCUACGCCCACGCACUCCUUCACCUACCUACCUGCCUCCACGAGCCGACCAAUCGGCUGCGGAGGUGGGGGUUGCCAUGGCAACACAACAGGUAAACACGGGCGGAGAUAAGGGGAAGAAGAAGACGUGACGAGGGCAGAGGUUUGAUUGAGAACACGGUGGUUUUCUGUCUUAUCUGUGACUCAUGUUCGGUUUGUGCAGCUCUUGGCGAAGACGUCACAUUUUUUUUUUUGUUUUCCGCCUCUGAAAAAAACAUUAAAGCGUCUUCUUACUUGGCAGUUUCUGUGUCAGAGGAUUCGACUUCCUGACGACCACGCGACGACGCUAGGCAACUAAUUACAGUUCACUGUGAGACCACAUUUAUAGAACAUUUUGUGACAUGAAAAUAUUUAAAAACGGGUUUAAUUUAUUCCUAAAUUAUCUUAAUUAGAUAAACUGCUACUUUUUUAAAGAUAUUUAAUUAGCUGUGCACUUAGCUAUGCACUUUUUUCAAGGAUGGUCAGAUUCUUCCUAAACCUACUUUUUAACUGAUUCCCACUCGACUGUGCUUUAUCUGCUACGUCUGGUUUAUUCAAUGUGUUUGUGUGUUCGCUGUAUUGUCUGUGUUCUUAUGUCGGUGUUUGUGAAUGUGAAGUUUAUAAAAUAAAGUUAAUUGAAUUGAAUUGUUGUUCCUAUAACUUGAGAUUUUCUUACUGGUUCUUAGUAAACGAUUAAAAUGAAAACUAAU